UGGGGAAUUUUCCGCAAUGGGCGAAAGCCUGACGGAGCAAUGCCGCGUGAAGGUAGAAGGCCUACGGGUCAUGAACUUCUUUUCCCGGAGAAGAAGCAAUGACGGUAUCCGGGGAAUAAGCAUCGGCUAACUCUGUGCCAGCAGCCGCGGUAAGACAGAGGAUGCAAGCGUUAUCCGGAAUGAUUGGGCGUAAAGGGUGAGUAGGCGGCAUAGUAAGUCAUAUGUGAAAGCCCGCGGCUUAACUGCGGAGUUGCAUAAGAAACUAUUGAGCUAGAGUGCAGGAGAGGCAAGCGGAAUUCCUAGUGUAGCGGUGAAAUGCGUAGAUAUUAGGAAGAACACCAGUGGCGAAGGCGGCUUGCUGGACUGUAACUGACGCUGAGUCACGAUAGCGUGGGGAGCGAACA
rnacentral:rRNA from 1 species